ensembl:snRNA U5 U5 spliceosomal RNA
CACCUCAGGUUUCCCUUCAAAACACACAAAUCUUUCGCCUUUUAUUAAAGAUUUCCGUGGAGAGAAACGCACUUGAGUUUCGAUGUUAUUUUUGGAGGCCUCAUCUCCCGGAGCGGGU